UAAGGAAUUUUCCGCAAUGGGCGCAAGCCUGACGGAGCAAUGCCGCGUGCGGGAUGAAGUAUCUCUGGUAUGUAAACCGCUGUCAGGGGGCAGAAACAAUGAUUGCCCCCAGAGGAAGUGGCGACUAACUCUGUG
rnacentral:rRNA from 1 species